rnacentral:tRNA from 1 species
GGGAGCUUAGCUCAGCUGGUUCAGAGCGUCUGCCUUACAAGCAGAGGGUCGGGGGUUCGAACCCCUCAGCUCCCACCU